UGGAGUGUGAGAGGGUGUCUGCCCCUCCUGUCGUCUGUCCCUUUCCUUCUAAGGCUAGAGGAGGACGGCAUGCUGUGGACUCUCGCCUUCCUUCUAGCUUUCUUGGCUCCUGCCACUUGGAUAUCUUCCAAUGUGGAAGGGACACAGACGUCAAUCACCAAGCAGGCUGGGUCUUCAGUUGUAUUCACUUGUGAUAGUAAACAAAGGAUCACCUACGUCCAUUGGUACCGACACAAGGAGGGAAUGGCCCCACAACGAAUUGUCUACUACCAUCAUCAAGACUCCAGAUUAGUGUCGGAUCCAGGAAUCCGUUUAGAGAGAUACCGUGUUUAUGAAAGCACAGAGAGGAACCGUAAAAUUGAAAUCCGGAAGCUGGAACAAAGUGAUUCUGGUGUGUAUUACUGUGCUAUCUGGGAGAAAUUUGGAGAAGGGACUAAGCUCGUGGUAACUCCCUCUGAUGCACGCCUUCCUGCAGACAUUUCUCCCAAGCCCACCAUUUUUCUUCCUUCAAUUGCUGAAAUAAACUUCCAUAAGGCUGGAACAUAUCUUUGUCUUCUUCAGAAAUUCUUCCCCGAGGUUAUUAAGGUAUUUUGGAAGGAAAAGAAUGGCAAUACAAUCCUGCAGUCCCAGCAGGGAAAUACCAUGAAGACUGAUAACACUUACAUGAAAUUCAGCUGGCUGACCGUGACUGGAAAGUCAAUGGAUAAAGAACAUAAAUGCAUCGUCCAACACGAGAAUAAUAAAGGAAGGGUUGACCAAGAGAUUCUUUUUCCAUCAGUGAAUGAAGACGUCACUGCUGUUACUUCUAGAAGAGCUUGUCUGAAAGAUGAAAACCCCCUGCAGCUCACCAGCACCUUGGCCUAUUACAGCUACCUCCUGCUCCUCCUCGUGAGCGCGGUCUACUUUGCCAUCAUCACCAUCUGUCUGUGUAGGAGAACAGCCGUCUCUGGCAAUGGAAAGAAUUCAUAACAGAUGGGGGGACAAAGAAGUCAACUUUUGUUCAUCAUUUAUUGUCCCUAGAAGUGUCUACUGCGAAUCUACCUUGGCUUUCUCUCUGGGUUUGGGUUAUUCCAGUUCAAAAGUGUGCUUUGCUGUUAUGCCAUUAUUGUGUAAUGGUUUUUCAAAACACUGGGCAAAUAGAAAUUUUUUCUCUAUGACAGCAAUGAACUCUGCCAUUACUCAGGGGCAGGGCCGUGGGGUCGUCCUUUAGCACCACUCUCUCCAUGAUCUCCAUCAGCUCCUCCAGCAAACUGAAUGACCAUGCCUUCUGAGUACAGACAACAUGCAACUCUACUCACGUCCCUUAGGGCCAUUUAACCAGAUGACCACCUUGGAGCCUU